UGGGGAAUAUUGGACAAUGGGCGAAAGCCUGAUCCAGCCAUGCCGCGUGUGUGAAGAAGGCCUUUUGGUUGUAAAGCACUUUAAGUGGGGAGGAAAAGCUUGUGGUUAAUACCCAUAAGCCCUGACGUUACCCACAGAAUAAGCACCGGCUAACUCUGUGCCAGCAGCCGCGGUAAUACAGAGGGUGCAAGCGUUAAUCGGAAUUACUGGGCGUAAAGCGCACGUAGGUGGUUAUUUAAGUCAGAUGUGAAAGCCCCGGGCUUAACCUGGGAACUGCAUCUGAUACUGGAUAACUAGAGUAGGUGAGAGGGGAGUAGAAUUCCAGGUGUAGCGGUGAAAUGCGUAGAGAUCUGGAGGAAUACCGAUGGCGAAGGCAGCUCCCUGGCAUCAUACUGACACUGAGGUGCGAAAGCGUGGGUAGCAAACAGGAUUAGAUACCCUGGUAGUCCACGCCGUAAACGAUGUCUACCAGUCGUUGGGUCUUUUAAAGACUUAGUGACGCAGUUAACGCAAAUAAGUAGACCGCCUGGGGAGUACGGCCGCAAGGUUA
rnacentral:rRNA from 1 species